AGCUGGCAGUGCUGCAGUGGCGUCGUUCGGGGAGAGAGGCACGCAGCAGCCAGCUGUGGGAAGCUGGAGCCCAACCUGCACCCAGUGCUUGGCCAGGGAAGAGGAGGGCAGGAGCGGCACAGGUCUGCGUGUGCACGGAGGAGGAGGAGAAACGCAAGCUCUGGGACUCGUUGCGCAAGAAGUGCCAGAAGGCAAGGGCAAAAGUGGCAACCGCGAAGGCUUGGAAAGAAAAGCGAGAGCAAUGGGAGGUCCAGGUACUGGAGGCAAUGAAAAAUAAUUAGGAAAAGAGCAUUCUUCUCCUCCAGGGAGCCAAGGUGGGAAGGUCCCUAAGGCAUAGGUGCAUGGGGGCUGACUGUCCUGUGUGGGACUGUAUCAGCUCAAGGCACCUUCCCUAUUGCCCAGCGACAUCUCUUCUGCUCACCUCUCUGUCUGUGCAGGGUCCUGCAUUCAUGGCAUUCCCGAGCGGUGGGGAGACACCAGGAGAGGAUGAGGAGAGCCCAGAGGACAAGCUGAGUCUUUGCCUUUCAGAGUACUCAUCUCUGCAAAGUAACCAUGGGACAGUUGGUGGAAACACCCAGCAAUGCGUCGUACCCACUUACAGGUUGGUCUCACUGAACUAACCCAGCGCCAGCAGCUGGGUUUAGAAGCUCCAUUUCAUUUCUCACAUCACAAGAUGAGGAACAGGGAAGCAGGAAGAAACAUGUGAACUAAGUGGUUUCCAGCAAGGCACUGUCUCUAAAGCAGUUUUCAUAUAGUACACUUGUGAUCAGGAAAUUAGCCUCCAUGACAAAAGAGUUUGGUGGUUCUGCGUAAGAAGCAGCUAUUUGGCCAUAGGCAGAGCAGAAUCCAAACAGCCCUGGAGGUACCACGCUUUUAGUAUUACUGUAGGGAUGACCCAGAGCAGAGGUUCUCUCUCUCCGCUGUCCUUUC